GUGCCAGCCGCCGCGGUAAGACGAAGGGGGCAAGCGUUGUUCGGAAUUACUGGGCGUAAAGCGCGUGUAGGUGGUUGCCACAGUCAGGUGUGAAAGCCUUGAGCUCAACUCAAGAAAUGCACUUGAUACUGGGCGGCUAGAGGACCGGAGAGGAUAGUGGAAUUCCCAGUGUAGUGGUGAAAUACGUAGAGAUUGGGAAGAACACCAGUGGCGAAGGCGGCUAUCUGGACGGUUUCUGACACUAAGACGCGAAAGCGUGGGGAGCAAACAGGAUUAGAAACCCGCGUAGUCC
rnacentral:rRNA from 1 species